GGUGUUCACUCUGGGCAGGUGUUCACUCUAGACAGGUGUUCACUCUAGACAAGUUACAUUGUAUAGGUUCCAAAACCUUGAGGUUAGGCCACAGUACAACUCUGUUCUACAUUACUUCAUAUCCCUAGGAUAUUAUAGACUGUAUGUAUGAAAGAGAAAAGUCACAUAUUUGUAGACAUUAGCACCAGGUAAAUCAGCUUAUAUCAUACACGUAAGAAAAACUGCGAUGAAUUUUGUGUUAAUUGUUUUUCAUAUUGUGAGAUUUUAGACAGACCAGUACAUUAGUCCUUUGAAUAAUUAAAGAACUUCUAAUGCAAACUGAUAGAAAUUAACGAUAAACCACAGAGUUGGUCAAUCAAUUAGACAUUAACUGGACAUUUAAUAAAUUGAUGGCAAUUUGAUUGGUCAAUAUAUUAUGGAGACAUAUGCUGCCCUAAUGAAACGAUGAUAUACAUACAAACUUGUAACUCAAAGUGUGAAAAGUGGCUCCAUAUUCAAGCUUUGUUAAAAAUAACGAAAAGGUCACCACAGCACUUAAUCCUUGCUAAACUUAAUGCAUGCACCUUAAUGAUAAAAUAUGUGUUAAAUGUGUGCAUGUGAAAGGUAAGAAUAACAAAGAAUAUAUAACAAAGCUAUAAAAUAGGAAGCCAUUUUCAAACAUAUGUAAAUGAUAUAUAAACAUACUCUCACAAAAAUAAAGUAUAAUUAAGCAAGGUUUGAAGCUGAUUGAAGUAGGCAAUAAGUUUACAAUAAAUAAUUUCAUUUUGUUUAAAAAUACAAAUUUAACGAACAAAUUUAAACAAUCAAAUAUGCAAACAAAACAUCAUGGCCCUAUAUCGCUCACCAGAGCUGAUCUGGCCUACUGACCAAGUUUUAGAUACUACAUGACCCAGUUUCAAACUUGACCUAGAGCUCAUAAAGACAAAACUCCUGACCAAGUUUCAUAAAGAUAGGGUCACAACUGUGGCCUCUCAGUGUUAACAAGUUUUUCUUUGAUUUGAACACACAUUCGGACCAAUUCUAAUGAGUUUCAAACUUAAACUGUGAACUCUCGAGUGUCCACAAGAUUUUCCUUUGAUCUGUCUUCCUGACCUAGUUUUUGACCCCACAUGACCCAGUUUCGAACCUGACCUACAGAUCAUCAA